GUCAUUUUGUCCGCUCCUAGCGAACUGGGAGACGUCCAAUUCCAGCCCGUUCCCGACUUCCGACUGCGGGCGCUCUUUGGACGGACCGAGGUGGACCACGUCCAGCCGCAGGCUGAGGCUGCGGACGAGAUGCCGCGAGGGCCUACGAGUCAGUGAGCCAAGCGCGCCGCGUCGCGUCUGCUGGUGGACUCUGCGCCUCGUGACCACGGUCUCCAGGGACCAGGGCGGUGAGCCAGCAUCUUCUUUUUCCGUCCCCUCCUGCAGCCGCCGCCCGCCGAGACGCCAAGCGCGAGCGGGAGGAGACCAUGUCACGGUGGCGCGCCGCCGCCUACAGCAUCUCCGCAGCUGCCGCGUCCCGCAACUCUGCGGCGGAGGCCGGCGCCCUCUCCAGGGCCUUGGCGAAGGCUCCCUCGCCGCCUUCGCUUCCUCUCCAAACCCUCACGAGAAACUUUGCCAAGUCCGCUGCCGCCGCCACGGCCACGUCGCCCGGCCCUGGCGCUUCCUCUCCGCCCGCUGGGCCGAGGCCCGAGAUUAGACUGAAGUCUAUGUUCUUAUCCAAGCCCUGUUCAUUAGCGUUGCCACCUGACUCCCCUCAUAGAGCAGUGGAUCCACAAUAUAAGGGCAUCAAGCGAUUCCUACUCACAUUGUUGUUGUUCUACAGUAAGCAAAGCAAGUCCAUCAGAGGAGCAAAUGUUGUUUAUGAUCGAAUCACUUCUCAAGUUGAUGCACCUACUAUUUAUGAUGUUUUUCAGUUGGAGAAAACAUUUAAGACAACAUUUUCAUUGCUUGUUCUCCAUAUGUGGCUUGUUCUACGCCGCUUGAAGGAAGAAGGGAAGGAUGGUGUUAAGUUCGGACAGUACAUCUACGAAAUGUACAACCACGAUGUAGAACUCAGAGUUUCUAAAGCUGGGGUUAACUUGCUUCUGACAAAAUGGAUGAAGGAGCUAGAGAAAAUAUUCUAUGGAAACAUUGUGAAGUAUGAUGCUGCGAUAAGCCCAGAGGCUCGUCAAGAUGAUCUUGUAAAUGUCAUCUGGAGGAGUACUAGCUACUGAAGGCUAUUUCAGAAUCAAAAAAAGUAAAGUAAAAAUCAUUUAGCUUAUUCUCUCAAUUUCAAUUGACCGCUACUGGAUUUAGUAUAUCUAAUAUGAAUUGGCGAUCAGAACACAUAUGGAUAGAACUUCUAAAAGGUUCUCGAAAAAGAGGUAAUUUUUUCUGGGCCUGUAUUCUUUUUCUAGGUUCAUUAGGAUUCUUAGCGGUUGGGGCUUCCAGUUAUCUUGGUAAGAAUAUGAUAUCUGUACUUCCAUCUCAACAAAUUCUUUUUUUUCCACAGGGGGUCGUGAUGUCUUUCUACGGAAUCGCGGGCCUAUUCAUUAGCUCCUAUUUGUGGUGCACUAUUUUAUGGAAUGUAGGCAGUGGUUAUGACCGAUUCGAUAGAAAAGAGGGAAUAGUGUGCAUUUUUCGUUGGGGAUUCCCUGGAAUAAAACGUCGCAUCUUCCUUCAAUUCCUUGUGCGGGAUAUCCAAUCAAUUAGAAUUCAGGUUAAAGAGGGUCUUUAUCCUCGUCGUAUCCUUUAUAUGGAAAUCCGGGGCCAGGGGGUCAUUCCCUUGACUCGUACUGAUGAGAAGUUUUUUACUCCACGAGAAAUUGAACAAAAAGCUGCCGAAUUGGCCUAUUUCUUGCGUGUACCAAUUGAAGUAUUUUGAGUACCAAUUGCAAUUUUUUGCAAUUGUAAGGGGAUUUUCGAGUAUUUAUCUAAAGUAAAGGAAGGAAGGAACGAGGAUAAGAGAAAAUUGCUUCGAAUUUGUUUUGUCCAAGUGAGAUAUAUGGCAUACUAUUCUUCCAUUUUUAUACGAAAGGCCUUUUUUUAUUUCUCUAUUCCACUCCAUUUAGAUCUAAGAAAGAACCCAAUACAAUGAAAUUCCACUAGUAUACAAAAAGAGAAAUAGAUACAAACACAAGGUCUCAAACCUUGUUAUAGAAUUUUUGCUUCAAAGAAAAGAAAUAUCAUAUAUAUUCAGCUUACAGAUCAAAAAUGAAAAAAAAGAAAGCAUUGCCUUCUUUCUUAUAUCUUGUAUUUAUCGUACUUUUGCCCUGGGGAGUCUCUUUCUCUUUUAACAAAUGUCUGGAACUUUGGAUUAAGAAUUGGUGGAAUACCAGGCAAUCCGAAACUUUCUUAACUGAUAUUCAAGAGAAAAGGAUUCUAGAAGGAUUCAUAGAAUUAGAGGAACUUUUUCUCUUGGACGAAAUGAUAAAAGAGAAACCGAAGACACAUGUACAAAAACUUCCUAUAGGAAUACACAAGGAAAUAAUACAAUUGGCCAAAAUAGAUAAUGAGGAUCAUCUCCAUAUCAUUUUGCAUUUCUCAACAAAUAUAAUCUGUUUGGCUAUUCUAAGUGGUUCUUUUUUUCUGGGUAAAGAAGAACUUGUCAUUUUGAAUUCUUGGGUUCAGGAAUUUUUCUAUAACUUAAAUGAUUCAAUAAAAGCUUUUUUUAUUCUUUUAGUUACUGAUUUUUUUGUUGGAUUUCACUCUACCCGCGGUUGGGAACUACUAAUUCGUUGGGUCUACAACAAUCUUGGAUGGGCUCCUAACGAGCUAAUUUUCACUAUUUUUGUUUGUAGUUUUCCUGUGAUUCUAGACACGUGUUUGAAAUUUUGGGUCUUUUUUUGUUUAAACCGUCUAUCUCCUUCACUUGUAGUCAUUUAUCAUUCAAUUAGUGAAGCAUAAACUCACUCAUUUCAUUUCCUAAUAUUAAUCAAAUUAGCAUAUUUCUUUUCUUCCUUUAGAAAUGGAAAGAAAGCCCUUUUCCUUUUUAACAAAAUUCUUUCUAUUUCUACCUGCUCAAGGUAUUCAUCAUUCUAGUACAACUAUUGCAGUAGAAUGACAACAGACUCGUGUAUAGGGAACUAGAUUAGCUUAGCUACCUAUCUAAUUUAUUGUAGAAAUUCCGGGAUCCGCGAUUGGACAUGGAAAAUAGAAAAACUUUUUCUUGGUUAAAGGAACAGAUGAUUCGAUCGAUUUCUGUAUCGAUCAUGAUAUACGUAAUAACUCGCACAUCUAUUUCAAACGCAUAUCCCAUUUUUGCGCAGCAGGGUUAUGAAAACCCGCGGGAAGCAACUGGACGAAUUGUAUGUGCCAAUUGCCAUUUAGCUAAUAAGCCUGUGGAUAUUGAAGUUCCCCAAGCAGUGCUUCCUGAUACUGUAUUUGAAGCAGUUCUUCGAAUUCCUUAUGAUAUGCAGCUGAAACAAGUUCUUGCUAAUGGUAAAAAGGGAGGGUUGAAUGUGGGUGCUGUUCUUAUUUUGCCCGAGGGAUUCGAAUUAGCGCCGCCCGACCGUAUUUCUCCUGAGUUGAAAGAAAAGAUAGGAAAUCUCUCUUUUCAGAGUUAUCGUCCCAAUAAAAAAAAUAUUCUUGUGAUAGGCCCUGUUCCCGGUAAGAAAUAUAGUGAAAUUGUCUUUCCCAUUCUUUCCCCCGAUCCCGCUACAAAAAAAGACGUUCAUUUCUUAAAAUAUCCCAUAUAUGUAGGGGGAAACCGAGGAAGGGGACAGAUCUAUCCUGACGGUAGCAAGAGUAACAAUACGGUCUAUAAUGCUACGUCAACAGGUAUAGUAAAAAAAAUACUACGUAAAGAAAAGGGGGGAUAUGAAAUAUCCAUAGUGGAUGCAUCGGAUGGACGCCAAGUGAUUGAUAUUAUACCUCCCGGGCCAGAACUUCUUGUUUCAGAGGGGGAAUCAAUCAAGCUUGAUCAACCAUUAACAAGCAAUCCUAAUGUAGGAGGGUUUGGUCAGGGGGAUGCAGAAAUAGUGCUUCAGGAUCCAUUGCGCGUCCAAGGCCUUUUGUUUUUCUUCGCAUCUGUUAUUUUGGCACAAGUUUUUUUGGUUCUCAAAAAGAAACAGUUUGAAAAGGUUCAAUUGUACGAAAUGAAUUUCUAGAUCCUGGGAUUUCUUACCAUCAAGUGAGAAAAAAGCCUCGAUUUCUGGAAUUCCUUAUUUCUAUCUCAUGCAAAAGAAGAGGAUCCAAGGCAAAGACGAGAACAAUAAAAGGAACAAGUCCUUUUAGGAGGAAUUGUGGGUCUUCUUAAUCCUCUAUUGGGCACAAGAAAAAGGCUUUUUUGCCUUUUUCUUGUGUCGAUUCUUCUUGUAUCGAAGUAAGAAUCAUUUUUCUUCUUAUUUGUUUUGUCAAAGAUUACUAUUUAUUCUUUAUUCGGGUCUGUCUUUUGGACUUCCUUUGCUUAGGUUCGGGCGCGGUAGUGGACAAACAGAGGGAAAGAAGGUAUGGCGGGGGACACAUUUCUUGUGAGCAAAUAGAAUUGCUUUACUUUUUGAAUUAAGUUCAACUUUGAACUUACAGAAAUUUUGUAAAAAAAAAUCUAUACCCUCCCAUGGAAGGGUGGUUUUGAUUUUUAGGCUAGUUGAGUAGUUUUGAUUAAGGUUUUAUUAGUUUAUUACUCUAAACUAAAUCAACGAUUUGCAGGAUACUUCCUUCAUGGAAUAAAAUACUGGAUCCUCUCCCCUCUUUCUUGUUGCUUCAUAAGAGUGAAUCCAUUUUAUGGGCGAAAGGCGGGGGCUUUAAAUCGACCGAUGGAUUGCUUCACUCACUAACAUCAUUAACAAACAAAAGAAUAAAUGGAGGGAUUCCAACCAUCAGAGCAAAGGUUUUCUCUUUGUUAUUUUUACAAAUAGAAAUAGGUAACCAAUUUCUAGAUUAUGGAACAAAACCGCGUUAUAACAAUAAGAAUUCCGCGGGCCCUUUCCGCUCUAAUCAGAUAAAGGGGAGUAAGGACCCGCUAAGUUCCUACUUUUUCAUGUUUACAAUCUGGAUCCUCCGAUUACUAUAGAGAUGAACCCAAUCCAGAAUACGAACCGUAAAAGAAAACACCUAUUAAACCAAUCACAAGAAUACCAGUUACAGUACCUAUCAGCCAAAGAGGAAUUCUUCCAGUAGUAUCGGCCAUUUCCCCUACUUUCCUCCACAUUUUCUCAAGUGGUCAUGCUAGAGACAAAAACAGUCAUGGAUAGUUAUAAAGAUGGUAUCCUUCCAAAUGGGAUAAGAGAAUUCUUACUACUCUCUUUCUUUCUCUCAAUUGAAGAAGUAAUUGGAAAAUAAAACAGCAAGUACAAAAAUGAGUAAUAAACCCCAGUAUAGACUGGUACGAUUCAAUUCAACAUUUUGUUCAUUCGGGUUUGAUUGUGUCAUAGUUCUAUAGUUGGAAUUUGGUUUAUCGUUGGAUGAACUGCAUUGCUGAUAUUGAUCCCAAGAAAAAAACCGUGGGUACAGCUAAUCCGUGAACAGCCAGCCAUCGCACUGUAAAAAUAGGAUAGGUUCGAUCUAUGGUCAUUGGGGGCCUCCUAAAAGGAUCUACUAAAUUCAUCUAGUUGUUCUAAAGAAUCAAAACGGUCGGUUAUUAAUGGAAUUCCUUGUCGGCUUUCCGUGAAAUACUCGUUUGGUCGAGGACUUCCAAACACGUCAUAAGCUAAACCCGUACUGACAAAUAACCAACCCGCAAUGAAUAGGGAAGGUAUAGUAAUGCUAUGAAUAACCCAGUAUCGAAUACUGGUAAUAAUAUCAGCAAAAGAACGUUCUCCCGUGCUUCCAGACAUGCUGAGCUCCCAAAAUUUUUAUUCAAAAAAGGAAUUGAUUCCGUAAAAGAUGGGAUCCACCAGUAAAUAGAAAAUUACUGAUAUUUCAUCCUUGUGAGAUUGUCAAUUUUGUACCAAAGGUGUAUUUUGAGUAUACCGAAUUAGUAUAGCUAUCCUUCCUUCUAAUAUAUAAUGAUGCGCAGCUCUUCUGCGUGUUCGAGAAAAAAAAGAAUAAAUCGUUUCUUAAUAAAAGCAGUUUGAUUGGGAGAAACCAUAUUUUGCAGCCUGUCUGCUAACCUGUUAGCCAACAAUUUAGUCACCAACUUCGCUAAACUAUGAACCAGACUGAUUGGGCGGAAAUCUCUCACACUAGUGGCUCCCUCAACCUUGGGCAGAAGUGUAAUAAAAGCUGAAUUCAGCGGACCCAAGUUUCUGAAAUUUCUAGCCAAAUGCAGUAGACUGCCGCCAUGAAAUCAGCCUUGAUCACCGACUUUUGUAAAAUCUGCCAGUGAACCCGUCAGGACUUGGGGAUUCGUCCGAAGGAAGGGACUUAAUUGUAUCCCAAACUUCCUCCUCCGAGACAGGCGCAUCAAGGGUAUCAAGGUCAUAAGAUGGCAUCCACAGAGCAUCCAGAUCAACAGUAACAUCCCUUAUUCAGUUCCAAGGAGCCCUUGAUAAAAAUCAAAGAAGGCUGCUGCCUUGCCUUCAUGGGCAGUCCAGAUUUGCCCAUCCUCUGAGUGUACCGCUGCAAUGAAAUUCUUCUUCCUGAACCUUGUUUGUGCAUGAAAAAGAGAGGUAUUGGCAUCACCUUCUUUGAUCCACCCAAUCCGCGAUUUCAGCCUUGCCAUGGUACGAGAGAGAGAGAGAGAGAGAGAGAGAGAGAGAGAGAGGACAUGGCAAGAGAGUGCUUCUUGAGCAGGUUUCGGAGCCACAGUUCACCAGGAGAUAAGGAACGAUUGUCCUGCACCACCUUCAAUUGAUGUAGGAGCUCCCUAGCCAUCUCAAGCUGCAGCUCUGUGCACUAUAUUUUGACUUGGGCCAAAGCUAAAGUACACUGAUUUGAAACGGAUGGAGAACGUGAUAGAUGUAUUGCUGUCUUUCUUUCACGAUAGAAGUUUCUGGCAUUGUGUGUGAUGGGUACAUGUAUUGAAUGCUAGAAAUAUUUAUGCUGAGGAAGGUUCAGAGGCUAUGGAUGUGGCUGCUGCCCCUGCUGUCCAGGCAUUGGCAAGAUACACACGAAGGGAGGCAACUUGCCUAUCAUUGACUGGUUAAAUUUCUGCGGCUCUUAAAGCAUUUGUCGUUUUCUUUUUGAAUAAGUUAAACUCAGUAGAUACUUCUUGCCCUGUACGUUCUAACUACACUACUACAGGCAAAGAUUCUAUGUUCUCGGGGAACUUCAAAUUCACAGCUCUGCUGCCGGCAACUCCCAGUCCCAGCCCAAAGAAGCCUGUGCGAUGAACUGCCGUGGUACGUCCACAUUUCACGCGAAGGUUUAGAAAACAGCAGGAUCGGUGGAUACCUGCUGUUCUCUCAGCAGUACAAAUAACAGGCUUCUUCCAGCAGUUGUUUACUCUGGGGUCCCCACGAUUCAAACCCUUUUGAUGGAUAUACUUCGUUCCAGAUAGGAAGUUUGUUUUGUUAAUCUCUAGUCUCGAGUAUUUGCUCUAGGAGACCACCCACCAGAACGGAGCCUUCUUGUCGCCGGACCAGGCAUCGAUUCGCACACUGUAUGAGGCGAUGCUGAAAGAAAAAAAAAAGGAAGGCAGCACCGAUGUUCGGUCAUUAAUAUGCAGUUUCUUUCGGCUGCAUGUGUCUCUUAUGUAGAGUAAAACUAAUUUAUUCUCGCAUAUAGAAUCAUACUAUACCGGACAUCAAUUGAUGAUGUGAACCGUAUGCAAGAUCAUCGCCAUCUACUGUAGUAUGUGACAGUGUAAGUUGUUUUUUUUCCUUAAAAAAUGUAGGCGGAGCAAAGUCGAAUCU